rnacentral:tRNA from 1 species
CAAUGUGGCUCAGUUGGUAGAGCAGCGCAUUCGUAAUGCGCGGGUCAAGGGUUCGAGUCCCUUCAUUGG